rnacentral:rRNA from 1 species
CAGCGCGACCCCAGGUCAGGCGGGGCUACCCGCCGAGUUU